GAUGGUGGAAGGAAAAAAAAGGAACAGGAGAAAAGAAGAUAUUGAGAGGGUGGAAAUAGAGAAGGAAGUUAAAGUGAAAGUAGGAAAUACUGUGAAACAAGGAGUGUGUUAAACUAUUGAAUAAAAAACAUAUCUAUAGGGUACAUAUUACAUUAGCAGCAUUUAUUUAAAUGAGCACAUUCAUGCACAGAAUUAGACAGAUUAAUAGAGCAGUAAAAUAACGGGUGCAAUUAACAAAACUUGUUUGUAUGUGAUCAGAGGCCUUACAAAGGGAAUAGACUGAAAGAGAAAAGCUGCAUGUGUAGGAGAUGGAUGAGGAUGAGUAUGACACCCUGUGUGAGGAAGAGAAAUCAUAUGCAGACCUUCAGCACUUGGAGAUGCUGAAGGAACAUAUGUACAGUAAGCAAGAGAGGGAGCAGGAGAAGAGGCAUCCGGAGGAGAAGCUCAGAGAGAAGGAGGAGCCGAAGAAAAGGUAGCAGAGAGAAAGAAAGGAAAUACUUACAGAGGAUAUAACAGAGUUGCCCAGAGCCUGUUGUAGAACUGCACUCUGACUCUGGACUGGAACAGCAGCCUAAAAGGGGUAGAAAGAUAUCUUCCUGCACAGAAGCCAAAGACUCACUUUUGGAGGGUGCCAGAGAACUUGACGAAGGAGGCAAAAAGAAAGCCAAAGAUGGCAAAGACAGCAAGCCAACUGGCCAUGAUAAUUCUUUACUGCCACUGGAUGAACUGGAGAAAGAGCUGCUGAACAUCAACUCCUUUUCCCCCCCGCCUUUGAAGAUUUUGGACCUGAAUACUCGCUAUCAGCUUGCACACCUCUCUGUGGAUUUGGCCCUCCUGGUUGAGGUUCUCUGUACUCCCUCUGACCUUUCUGGGUUUCCACCACCCUUGAGAUACAGGAUCAGUCCAGCUAAGGUGUAUGCGGAUGCUUCCACUCAAACUGAUCCCUGCCUGGUUAUCUUACCUGACAAUUCACCUGACCAUCAUGCUGAUGAUGACAUGACCUAUUCUGAUCCUGACUCUGUUCCCUUUUCCCCCAGUAGCCCUGGCUACACUCCUCCUUACCUGUCAGCACGUUCUGGUUCUUCCCCUGGUCACACGCCUUAUUAGCCCUUUUCACCUCUCAACUACUCUCCCACCAGUCCUGUUUGCUCUCAAU
ensembl:lncRNA